rnacentral:rRNA from 1 species
AUGCGGGUACUCACGGAGAAAAAUAAUGCCUUAUCCAAGGAGCUAGAAGACUGCCGAACUAAGCUAACUGUUGCCACCGCCGAACUGGAAAAUUUGAAGAAAUCCAAGAAGGCACCUGAUGGGUCGACAGAUCAGCUGGAGGAGAGGCUCAGGGCUACUCAAGCGGACAAACAACACGCCGAAGGGCAAGAAGCCGCUGGUCAAUGUGUAUUAACACGGACCAUUGAUGAGAAGAACAAACUACAAGAUAUAAACAUCAUGCAAGCCGAAGAACUGAAGGACGUAAGAGCCCAACUAUCGGAUGCUUUGAAGGAGAACAGAAAGCUGAAAGGCGGCAUAUUCAGUGUGCUGACUGGGCGGUCUGAAGGAGAAUUUCUGGAUUUCAAGGCGAUCUGCUACAAGACCUGUCCAAAGUGCAUGAGCGAGCUCGAAAGGCAAUGA